AUUAGGAAGAGGAAGUGUUACAUGCUGGUGGCGGGAGGCUUCAUCCUCACCCUCCUCAUCAUCAUCAUCGCUGUGUCAGCAAGAAAAUGAUACCAACCCCAAAGGAUGAAGAACAGAAUCGCUAUUUGGGGUAGCUGCUGUCAUAGUGCUGUGACCUCGCUGCUUCUGCCCCACCUGACCACCUGACCCCUGACCUGUACCAGCUGUCUCAGAACAGGAGGGGCCUGCCCUACAUCAACACCUCUACUUCGUCAUGGCUGUCCCUCCUUGGUUAUGUAGUUAGAUAUUUGGUGUGCGCAGGUAUAUGAGUGUGUGUGUGUGUGGGG